AACGAGCGCUGGCGGCAGGCUUAACACAUGCAAGUCGAGCGCCCCGCAAGGGGAGCGGCAGACGGGUGAGUAACGCGUGGGGAUCUACCUAGUGGUACGGAACAACACGGGGAAACUCGUGCUAAUACCGUAUAAGUCCUUCGGGAGAAAGAUUUAUCGCCAUUAGUGGAACCCGCGUCUGAUUAGCUAGUUGGUGAGGUAACGGCUCACCAAGGCGACGAUCAGUAGCUGGUCUGAGAGGAUGAUCAGCCACACUGGGACUGAGACACGGCCCAGACUCCUACGGGAGGCAGCAGUGGGGAAUAUUGGACAAUGGGCGCAAGCCUGAUCCAGCCAUGCCGCGUGAGUGAUGAAGGCCUUAGGGUUGUAAAGCUCUUUCGCUAGGGAAGAUAAUGACGGUACCUAGAUAAGAAGCCCCGGCUAACUUCGUGCCAGCAGCCGCCGUAACAC
rnacentral:rRNA from 1 species